rnacentral:lncRNA from 1 species
AAGACCAGUUCUAAGGGAUUUCCCUAGUUCAUUCCUGAUCUUUCUUUUCCUAACUCUCGUCUCCAUUUAAGACUUUAAGUCUUUUUUUCUAAAUUUAUUUAUUUAUUUAUUUCCUUUUUAUUUAUUUAUUUAUUUUUCCUGCUCUACAGCUUGGGGACCAAGUUACACAUACAUGUAUACAUACUUUUUCCUCCCAUUGUUGUGUUUCAAUGUAAGUAUCAAGACAUAGUUCCCAAGACUACAUGGCAGGAUCUCAUUGUAAAUCCAUCUCUUAAAGUCUUAAAUUCUCCAGCCAUUAAGUCUUCUCCCAAUAGGGUGUUCCGGAAUCUGAACCUAGUGGCCCAGAAGGAACGCCCAGUAUGUGUGUUAUAAGGUGGAGUGAUGUGUGUGUCUGCAGGUUUGUACCAGAGCCAGCAGUAAGGACUGGAAAGGGCAAGACUUUGCACGACGUCUUUUCAACAAUCCAGCGAAACCAGGAGAGGGAGUUCCAGUUGUGGCUCAGUGGUAACGAACCGGACUAGUACCCAUGAGGAUGCAAGUUUGAUCCUUGGCCCCAUUCAGUGGGUUAAGGAUCUGGUGUUCCCAUGAGUGGUGUGGGUCGCAGAUGUGGCUGGGAUCCCGAGUUGCUGUGGCUCUGGUGUAGGCCGGUGGCUACUGCUCUGAUUAGACCCCUAGCCUGGGAACCUCCAUAUGCCAUGAGUGGGGCCCUAAAAAGCAAAAAAUGAAACAAAACAAAACAAAAACCAAACCAAAACAAACGAACAGAACAGGAGAGAAGGGGGUACCUGCUGUGACCCAGAAUCCCUCUCAUGCUGUGGUCCUCUUCCUCCACCUCUUAUGUGGUGUGGGUUAAGGGGAGAAUUGUCACAGGAUAUCACCCUACUGUCCCAUCUUCCCUGUGCUCCUAUCCCCACCCAACUCCAAAUACUUCUCUAAGCCACUCAAACCCACAGGAGUAGGAAAGGGGUGCGUUGUUUGGGGGAGGGGCAGUCCCACGUGCCCCAUCUGGGGGAAAGGGCUGACUUUUUGGACCUGAGCCUAAGCGCUUUCUGUCCAUGCCAAGGGCUGCCUCCUGCAUCUGGGCCUGUGGGGUUAGAAGAGCUGCCAAAAUCCUAAACUGGGCAAUGACAGUGGACAGCCUAGAUCUUGGCCACUGACUCUGCCUCAGCCCUAGGGUCAUUCGGGACGUCUCUGGAGUUCCUUCCCCCCGCCAGGCCCUGGAACAGCCAUCCAGGCUCUGAAGUAGACUUGAGAAAGGCAUAAAGAAACCCCACAAGUCCCCUGUUUCAACCUAAAAGCCCUUCCAGGGGCAGGAACCCCAAGUGAGUGAAAAAGUACAAUUCACCAUUAAGCGGGAGUGUGGAGAAUCCCAUCCAGGGCUGUUUCUGGAUGGGACUUGCCCCCAACACUUGCAGUGCAGCCAACAGGAGUAUUUGUCCUUUCUCAAAAGACGAAGCCUGAAACCCUUUGCCUCCUUGUUCCAGAGAUCCAUUCGGCCCUAAACAGCCAGCCUUCCUUCCAGGAUUGCCUGUAGCCCUGAGCAACAGGUGGCUUAUUUCAGGCUGAAGGACAAGAGGCCUACUACCCCUGUGCCAAGGACGUCCCGGGGUCCUCACCUUUGAGCCCCGCCCACCAACCAAUGAGGACUCACAGAGGUGACGUCACUACAUCCUGUUUCCCAGCCCAGCCGGGAGCAUGGGACCCGGUGGGGAAAAGAGCCAAUGUAAAUGACGGAUGCCACGACCAUGUUGGUAAAGACGUGGAAGGCAAAUGAGUCAGCAGCAAGUUUAAGCAACGAACAAUUGCACCACGGGGUGUUUCUCAAAUUCUUGUCUACUUUUAGAAAGUAUGCAAUGCCAUCCGGUUGAGCGUCUUGGUUCUGAAAUAGCUACAGAAAAUGUUAAAAAUGCUGUGGGUGAAGAUGUGCCCACAUGUAUCGCUCUUCUAAAACAAUAGUUAACAAUGGCACAGCGUGUCCUCGGCACAUCUUUUCAUCUUGCUGUACCUUAGUUUCCUCACCCGGAACAUGAGCGGAAUGUGUGCACAUUGUCUUGGGAGAUUCCUUUCGGUCUGACGGUCCAUGAUAUGGUAUCAUGCUCACAGUCUUAAUACUCAGACUGGGUCUACACAGUGACAAGACCACUAGCCAGUUCAGUGAGUGUGGACAAAAUGUUCUCUCCAAUCAAUUCCUUGGCACCAUGUGGCUAAAACAGCCAGGCCUAUGUGUGAAUAGAGAUGGUGGGAGUAUAAGAAAAAGGACAACUCAUUAUUGAUGUUUCAGAUGCCGUCAUGUUAUGGAUGACACUGGCAGGGACCCCAAGGGAUGAGACCUACCUCCGCUGGAGAACGUUGGGCAUCUUAAUAGAUAAGAUAAUGAAGCGAAGCCUUCACAGCAAACACUCAUUAAACUUUAACGAUUUCUAUCUACCCUCGUCCCACAAGCAGCUUCCACACAUGCCUCUGCGCAGCUGUGGCCUCAGGACUGAGGCGCAGUGUAGACCGUGUUCAUCGGAACGGCGUUGGAUGACUUUAUUGACCAACUCGGCUCAGCUUUUCUAAGGGGAAAAGCUCUGUUCGUACCAAAGGCUUCUCCAGGCCCUUCCCCAACACCUCUGAUUAAACAGGCUGAGCUCCCCAGAGAACAAUCCGCACCAGGAUGCAGCGAAGCCCAGCAGUGGUCUUUCCUGAUGCUCUGGUCCUCCUCGCCCUGCCCGCUGACGGAUGACUCCGCUCCGUGACUUUACUGAACUCCAGUUCGCCCACCUCCCCACGCUCGUGUCCUUGGCUGUGAGCAGGUGCACUUGUGACCUGGGAGAGAACCCAAACUAACACCGACCCUGACCCCUGACGGGACUGUUAGACUCGCAGCAGAGUCAGAUGGGAGCUGCAGGGCAAGGCUCCCCUUACAUGUGGUCUGAACCCAGGGGAGUUCACCUCGCUGAGUUAAACUCGAUGUGCUGUGACUGCCGGGCCAUGGUGCUUCGUAUCUGACUCCCAAGGGACUCUCCCUCAAGUGACUGCAAGCUCCUUGGGCACUUUUCUAUUUUGGCAUCCCCUGGGAUCAUGCAGAGCACAGAGGGAUGCUCAGGCAGAAAGCACUUUGUGUCUCUGUGUCACCUUUUGGUUAAAAGGACUUUAAAAGUCAUGUUCUGGGAUGGCCUGCUUUGUACCUACCAGAGAGCAGGGUUUGCAGAGUCAGGCGACUUUAGGGGUCUGCUUACACUCUAACCUGAUCAGGGACCUGGUUGCUAAGCGACCUUUCAAUGGAGAUUAGUGAUAACAAACUCAGCAAAGAGCUGAGGCUUGAGAAAGGAAU